ACGUAGGGUGCAAGCGUUGUCCGGAAUUAUUGGGCGUAAAGCGCACGUAGGCGGUCGCGUAAGUCGGGUGUGGAAGCCCAGGGCUUAACCCUGGAAGUGCAUUCGAAACUGCGCGGCUUGAGUACGGAAGAGGGUCUCGGAAUUCCCGGUGUAGAGGUGAAAUUCGUAGAUAUCGGGAGGAACACCAGUGGCGAAGGCGGAGACCUGGGCCGAUACUGACGCUGAGGUGCGAAAGCGUGGGGAGCAAACAGGA
rnacentral:rRNA from 1 species